CAAAAUUGGAAAUUUGAACAAGCAUCUAAUAUUCUUACACAAAUAAAUAAACCCUGGUCUGCUAGCUACAUGUUCAUCUUUUCUACCGAUUUAAUAACUAGAAUCAUGCAAACAGACUUAAGAAAAAGGCAUGUAAGUUCAUUAUACAAAUAUGACACUUUUUCUAGACAAUCCAGAUCGUGCAAAAUACUUAGCUAAAAAUUGUAAUGUUUAAAAUUGUUGUUGCGCACUAAAAAAAAACAUGGGAACUUUCAAAAGUUGGCGGGUAUCUAUGUAACAAGUCUUACUAUCUUUAUGUCCCAUUUAUGGGCAUUAUGUUUUCUGGUCUGUCCGUCCGUCCUGCUUCAGGUUAAAGUUUAUGGUCGAGGUAGUUUUUUAUGAAGUUGAAAUCCAAUCAACUUGAAACUUAGUACACAUGUGUUCCUUAUGAUAUGAUCUUUCUAAUUUUACUGCCAAAUUAAAGAUUUUACCUAAUUUUCACAGUCCACUGAACAUAAAAAAUGAUUGUACGGAUGGGAAAUCCAUGUACUUAUGACACAUUCUUGUUUGAAGAAAAAAAAAU
rnacentral:lncRNA from 1 species